AUGGAGAGCAGCUCAUGUUACCUCCAGUUGUCCUUCAGUGAUGGCAGGGGAGCUCAGACACUCUCAUCUCCCCCAGCCACUUUUUGGAUGGAACCCUGGAAUUCAAUUGUGCAAAGAUUAAUUAAUAACUCCAUUUCCAUGGCAAGCUCACUGAUUGCUCUGGUUCAGGAGGGUUGGUGUGCUGGCAGUGCAGUGGGAAGGUGCCUGUCCACUCGCGUGCUGCUGUUGCUUAUUGAAGACCAGAGCUCGCUCCCUGCUCGGGCCGCUCCUCAGGAUUCCUAAAGGCGUGGCUCUCCCGGCCCAGCCCACGCCCGUGAGGCGGACACGGAG
rnacentral:lncRNA from 1 species